rnacentral:lncRNA from 1 species
GCAUAAUGUAAUAAACCAUAUUCUAUAAAUAAGCCAGAUAUAGUAGAUAAAAUGUAUUUCAUUUGAUGAUUCAGAUCCAAUUCAAUAAAGCAGAAUAUUCCAUAGAGUUUAUUUCCUCUAAUUGCAGGAGAGAAAUGGAUUUUCCCUCAUGUUUCCCUCCUCCACUCAGUGUUUGCUAUAGUUGCUGAUUGUGAGAGAAAACUAGAAAUAGAAUUUGCCAUGAAAUUUAAAACUUUACAAACUUCUUCGUGCUUCAUUUGAAAAGUAAUGUAGAGCUGGUAUUCUGUAUAAAUUCUGAUGUGGACUUUUUUCCUUAGAACUUUACAAGGAAAGGGGAAAUGUUGGAAAUGGAGAUGCACAACCUUGUCUUGAAGCAGAAGACUCAGCUAGAGCACAUCUGGACAUGCCUGGCAUUCCUCAAUAUAAUUCAAAUGAUAUUUUAAAAAGAACUGUCCAGUCAGGCUUGCAUUUCCUCUGCUUUGGAUGCUCUCUUGACAAGAUCACCGCAGACUUCCACCUGGCCAAGUUCAACGGCAUACUUCAGUCCUUGUUUUUCUGAUCUCUCAGCUGCAUUUAGCACAAACUGAUCCCAUUUUAACAUUGUAUAACACUUUAUUUACCUGGCUUCAGUGAAUUGUUCAUAGAUAAAUAAAGCAUAGCUUUGAAAAGAAUUAUGGAUUUUUUAAUUUAGCCUUUUUUUCUUUUCAAAAUGCUCCCCAAGUUGUGUUAACAGCUAGCUUUCCCAAAUAUCUAUAUAUUCCUGAUUAUCUUAUGUAUACUACUUCCCUAAUUUUUACUGAAGAACAGUAAUUAAGGGAGUGGGCUCUGGAAUCAGAACAAGUUAAAAUUAUUGUCUAUAAUUUCUAUAUUUUUUAAUGUUUCAUAUUUCAAAAUAAUGAUUAUAAUUUGUAUAUAGUAAUCUUUUACAAUCUUUAAUUGUUUUAAUAGAGUAGAUUCUUUGAAAAAGGCAAAUGAUCUGCUUCUUGAAAUGCAUAAAUGACCAGAAUUGUUUCAAUAUUAGAAAUAAAGAUUCAGUGAAAAGUAAAAAAUGACUGUGAAAAAAAUGUGGAAAAGUGACUAAAGCAGUCAAAGACAUAUACCUUGCUAGCAGUCCCUUUCCACAAAACACACACACACACACACACACACACACACACACACCCCUCAGAUGGUCUUAUAUGUGAUUUGAUCAAAUCUAUAAAGGACUUAUAAUUCCUAUGUACUUCAAACUCUUCAAAUAAAAACCAAAAUUUAUUAUUUGAAAAUAAGAUAAUGCUAACGUUAAAACCAUGGGAAGAAAAAGGCAAAAAACCAACAAAACCCAUACCUAAGAAGAAAAAUAGACCAAAUAGAAGAAUUUCUAUAAAAAUCCAG